GGAUGUGUGGGUGAUCUGGCUGUGGCCUCUGUUACCCCACUGAUCCCCAAGAUUGAUUCAGCUGACCUGGCCGGCUGGUGGGGUCCCCUUCUUCCCUCAGUGCUGCAUGUGCAUCCUUCCCAAAGCUGCACCCUCAGUUGCAGAGGGUGAUCACGGAGAUAAAGGAGAACUGUUCCUCGGUCAAGGGUGUAUGAGCUUCCCGGCUAGAGCCUCCAAGCAAGCUUUCAAGGUCCAUCCUGGCCUUGCACUCAUUAUGUAACCCAGGUUGACCCAAAUGUACAGCAAUCCUCCUU
ensembl:misc_RNA 7SK 7SK RNA